UCAUUUUUAUGUUUGAUUCGGCAGCACUUGGAAUGAUACAUAAAAUAUAAGCAUGACUCCUGUGCAAGGUGACAUGCAAAUUCAUAAAGCAUUCAAUACUUUU